CACCGCCUGGGGAGUACGACCGCAAGGGUAAAACUCAAAUGAAUUGACGGGGACCCGCACAAGUAGUGGAGCAUGUGGUUUAAUUCGAAGAUACACGCAGAACCUUACCAACACUUGACAUGUUCGUCGCGACUUUAAGAGAUUAAAGUUUUCGGUUCGGCCGGACGAAACACAGGUGCUGCAUGGCUGUCGUCAGCUCGUGUCGUGAGAUGUUGGGUUAAGUCCCGCAACGAGCGCAACCCUCACUUUUAGUUGCCAUCAUUAAGUUGGGCACUCUGAAAGAACUGCCAGUGAUAAGCUGGAGGAAGGUGGGGAUGACGUCAAGUCCUCAUGGCCCUUACGUGUUGGGCUACACACGUGCUACAAUGGUAUCUACAACAGGAAGCAAGACGGCGACGUUUAGCAAAUCCUUAAAAGAUACCUCAGUUCGGAUUGCACUCUGCAACUCGAGUGCAUGAAGCUGGAAUUACUAGUAAUCGUGGAUCAGCGUGCCACGGUGAAUGCGUUCCCGGGUCUUGUACACACCGCCCGUCACACCAUGGGAGUUGGUUCUACCUUAAGGCAAGGUUUUAAACCCUUGACCACGGUAUAGUCAGCGACUGGGGUGAAGUCGUAACAAGGUAGCCGUAGGGGAACCUGCGGCUGGAUUACCUCCUUUCUAAGGAUGAAUGAAAGUAAAAUUUUAUUCUAAAUAAUAUACAUAGGUAAUGUUGACCGUCCUCAUUUCUCUUCUUAAAGUAGUGUUUCUCUUGCAUGGGGGCCGGUAGCUCAGUUGGUUAGAGCACACCCUUGAUAAGGGUGGGGUCGAAAGUUCGAGUCUUUCUCGGCCCACCAAUAUAAGAUCAAUGGGGGAUUAGCUCAGCUGGGAGAGCGCCUGAUUUGCAUUCAGGAGGUCAGCGGUUCGAUCCCGCUAUCCUCCACCAAAAACACUUAGUUAUAAAAAAUUGUAAAUAAAAUAAUAAUUAAUAUCAAUAUCUAUAUCCGAACAUUAGUUUAGUAAUGUUAUUAGCUAAUGUUCAAAAUAAAAAUUUGAUUCAACACAGAAUUUUUUUCUG
rnacentral:sRNA from 1 species